AUGAACGCUAGCUACAGUGCUUAACACAUGCAAGUCGAGGGGCAGCACGGGAGUGGCAACACUCCGGGUGGCGACCGGCGGAUGGGUGAGUAACGCGUAUCCAACCUGUCACAGUCUCGGGGAUAGUCUUGCGAAAGUGAGCGUAAUACCCGAUGGUACGGAAUGAUCGCAUGUUCGUUCCGUUAAAGAUUCAUCGGUUAUGGAUGGGGAUGCGUCUGAUUAGCUUGUUGGCGGGGUAACGGCCCACCAAGGCUACGAUCAGUAGGGGUUCUGAGAGGAAGGUCCCCCACAUUGGAACUGAGACACGGUCCAAACUCCUACGGGAGGCAGCAGUGAGGAAUAUUGGUCAAUGGACGGAGGUCUGAACCAGCCAAGUAGCGUGCAGGAUGACGGCCCUAUGGGUUGUAAACUGCUUUUAUACGGGGAUAAAAAAGGCCACGUGUGGCUUAUUGCAGGUACCGUAUGAAUAAGGACCGGCUAAUUCCGUGCCAGCAGCCGCGGUAAUACGGAAGGUCCGGGCGUUAUCCGGAUUUAUUGGGUUUAAAGGGAGCGUAGGCCGUAGGUUAAGCGUGUUGUGAAAUGUAGGGGCUCAACCUCUGAAUUGCAGCGCGAACUGGCUUACUUGAGUGCGCACAACGUUGGCGGAAUUCGUCGUGUAGCGGUGAAAUGCUUAGAUAUGACGAAGAACUCCGAUUGCGAAGGCAGCUGACGGGAGCGUUACUGACGCUGAAGCUCGAAAGUGCGGGUAUCGAACAGGAUUAGAUACCCUGGUAGUCCGCACGGUAAACGAUGGAUGCCCGCUGUUUGCCCGCAUGGGUAAGCGGCCAAGCGAAAGCAUUAAGCAUCCCACCUGGGGAGUACGCCGGCAACGGUGAAACUCAAAGGAAUUGACGGGGGCCCGCACAAGCGGAGGAACAUGUGGUUUAAUUCGAUGAUACGCGAGGAACCUUACCCGGGCUUAAAUUGCGGCGGAACGAUCUAGAGAUAGUGAGGUCCUUCGGGACUGCCGUGAAGGUGCUGCAUGGUUGUCGUCAGCUCGUGCCGUGAGGUGUCGGCUUAAGUGCCAUAACGAGCGCAACCCCUCUCCUCAGUUGCCGUCAGGUUAUGCUGGGCACUCUGGGGACACUGCCACCGUAAGGUGUGAGGAAGGUGGGGAUGACGUCAAAUCAGCACGGCCCUUACGUCCGGGGCUACACACGUGUUACAAUGGGUGGUACAGAGAGUCGGACUGUACGCAAGUACGUUCCAAUCAUUAAAGCCAUCCUCAGUUCGGAUUGGGGUCUGCAACC
rnacentral:rRNA from 1 species